rnacentral:rRNA from 2 species
GCGAAGAGGUCACACCCGUUCCCAUGCCGAACACGGAAGUUAAGCUCUUCAGCGCCGAUGGUAGUCGGGGGUUUCCCCCUGUGAGAGUAGGACAUCGCCAGGC